UGGGGCUAGCAUGAAGUGCUGGCACAGAAAGUGCCAUUUGAGCUGUGUGUCUGAGGGUGCCUGGGCCAAGGGCGAGAGGCAUCAGGUGGCUCACAGUGCCCAAAACAGUGUGGGUAUGAGGGACAGGGCUGGGAGGUGACAGAGUUGGGACCAGACUGUGACUGGCCUGGAAAGCCGAGAGAAAGAAUUUGGACUUCAUCCUGUAGGCAGGAACGAGCCCUCAGAGGUUUUAUAAGCAGAGGAGUAACCUGAUCAGAGCUGUGUUUAAGGAAGAUUAAUUAAAAAUCAUGUCUGGUGUGUUUAAUUCCUAGCUAGCCCUGGGCUUUGGAAGAGACAGGAGAGGAAGACAACAAGGCCCCAAUGAACAGGCACUUCACAAAAUACUGUCCAAUAAACAUAUAAAAAGAUGUCCAGUGCUACUGAGAUGCAAAUUAAAGCAACAAUGAGAUACCAUAUUUGGCCUAUCAAAUUAGCAGGGAUUAAAAACACUUGAUGCUGUGGAGGGUUUUUUGUGAGACCAUCCUUAGUGCCCACUGUGGGGAGGAGGGGUUGCGACAGCCGCAAAUCUCUCUGACCUUUCGGAAGGGCGGCUGGAUAAGAGAUGCAAGAAGCUUGUUAAAAGUGCACGUUGUGUGACCCAGAAAUUCCACUUCUACGUAUUUAUUAUCCUAAAGAAAUCAUUGUUGAUGGGAGCAAAAAUGUUUGCCCCAAAGUGCCCCCACCCCAUGUGUUACUGAUAAAAGCCUAUUACUGGAUCGAAUGGGAAAACUGAAAACUGUCUGAAGGCAGCCUCUGAUGCUAGACUUCAACAUUUCUGAAUCCUCAAAGGCUGCAGAUCUACCCACAACAGCCCCCUAAGGAAUCCUGCAGGCAGAUAACGAGGGCAAGAUAACAUCUGAAGAGAGUCAGCCAGUCUGCACACAACAGACAUUGAUGCAGAACCCAACCUCUUGCCUAGAUGAUUCACUGUCAUGGCUGAACAGAAUCUUGGGAGUUGGUCUCUGGACACGAGUCCACUUUCCCCCCAGAUUGCCAGCUUUUCUGAUUAAAGCACCUUUCUCUUCUACUGACACUUACCUCUUGAAUUAUUGGCUUUGGGGCAGUAUUCAGUGUGCAGCCAAGCCUGAGCUCAGUAACAGCAGGCCAGGCUUAGUGGUGUGUUGUCUACACGUACCCAGGAGCACAGAAAUGAUCAAAGCAACAUGCGGGCAGAAGUAGGGAUGAGGAUCAGAGGGGACAGAGACUGCAGGUGACAAAGGACAAGCAGAAGGGCAGAAUCCCCAGGACAGGAGCAUUGUGAGUUCAAGGAGGAAUCUUAGGCACCUUUGGACACCCAGAUGGACUCUCAGAUAAAGGCUGUCAAGAGUGAUCGUGAAAGGCUAGAGAACUUGGAGAUGCUCGGGUCUUAAAUGCAUAGGAUAUUCAGGCAGAUGGUCAGGCAACCAUUCAACAUUAUGGUUUACAAGUGUUUUGAUGAUGUAGAGAGAUAUCAGGGAGAGAUUGUGGAGUGAAAAAAAGG